rnacentral:rRNA from 1 species
UACGGAGGGGGCUAGCGUUGUUCGGAAUUACUGGGCGUAAAGCGCGCGUAGGCGGCUUUGUAAGUUAGAGGUGAAAGCCCGGAGCUUAACUCCGGAACUGCCUUUAAGACUGCAUCGCUAGAAUCGUGGAGAGGUGAGUGGAAUUCCGAGUGUAGAGGUGAAAUUCGUAGAUAUUCGGAAGAACACCAGUGGCGAAGGCGACUCACUGGACACGUAUUGACGCUGAGGUGCGAAAGCGUGGGGAGCGAACAGG